AACUGGGUUAAAAUGUGUUUGGGGUUGGUCCUGCUUUGAGCAGGCAGUUGGACUAGAUGACCUCCUGAGAUCUCUUCCAACUUUAAUCUUCUAUGAUAGUAUG